rnacentral:lncRNA from 10 species
CACUCAGCUUUCUGAAAUGGUGUCCCACCGCAAGGACUGGAGAAGGUAUUUUGCAGAAGGUAGAACUUGUGAACAAUGUGGCUGUUUAGCUGAAGCUAUUUUCAAGCAAAGUGUUGAAGGAAAGAAGAAUAAAUUAAUUUCAUUUGAAGAAACCCAGAUGUCCUUAAAAUAAGCUGUGACUGCCAAAAGAGUUCUUUAGAAAUUCUCUGAUGAGUCAAAAUUCCAAGGUUCUUUCCCAUGUUGGCUUGUGUGGUUCCCUAAUAUUGCUUUGGGUUAGGUCAGACUGAUAAGGGAUCUCUCACUAAAAUGUUCCUACAAUCCUCUCAGUUGUCAACCGGUUUUUUGAAUUCAGGAUUUCUCCAAAAUCUUAUCCCAUCAGGUCAUUUUUCAUUUCUCACUGAUCCCUGAGCUGAGCUGCACGUU